UUCCUGGUGGUCCAGUGGCUAAGACUCUGAGUUUCCAACGCAGGGGAUCUGGGUUCCAUCCCUGGUCAGGGAA
rnacentral:tRNA from 1 species